UAAUGGCGGAAUACAGAUUUACUAUCAGCUGAAAAGAAGCGGGGGGCGAACUAUGGCGAUCUACAGCGAUUCACCGAGCUGACAAACCCUUGAACAUGUACUUGGCAGCUCAGCAAGAUUUUCCGCCAGUAAUCGGUAAAUCAACCCCCACCACUCAUACUCUAAUAUUUUAUUUUAUUUUGGUUGGUUUGAUGUUUACCAUAUUUUUUCCAUUACUUGUUUGGUGUGGUUGGCAUUUAUAUUUCACCUAUCUACGUAUCUGUUUGAUUUGGUUUCUCGUCUCAUGAAUCCAUAAAAAACAGUGGUUGGUAAAGUUUCAAUGAGGCAAAAAAUAAUUGAUGAUUCUUUGUACAGACAAAUUAUUGAACCCUUGCAAGAUGGGUAUCGAUUCUCUAGUGCAUGGUGUUAGCUCAAUUUUUUGUACAUUCAGAGAAGCUAGCUAUUCUGAUCUGCUAUGUUAAAAGUUAGUUAUUCCUCUUUGUACAAAUGCUCUUAGGGAGGUUAGUGAGCAGAAACCCUAAUCCGGAGCCCGUUGGGUGCCUCGACUCUAGGAAAUUUCAUUAGCUUAUUUCCCUCUACUUCUUCCCAUUUGUAUCUCGUCACAAAAUAAUGAAGGAAUGUAGAAAUUUCAGCCAGUCCGAGCUCUUUUCCAGGGCAUUGUCUUGUCCCCCCUCCGAAAAUCAAGAAAUGGUGUUGAUUUUUCAGGCCUUUUUCCUGCAAUUCAUUGAAGUAUCGAGCUUGUUAGCCAUUGUUUUGUGAGAACAAACUAGAAAAGGUUAUAUUCAUGUGUUAAUUUGGGUGAUUUACUAACCAGCCAUCUCCAUGGAUUGAAAGUUAAUGGAUCGGGAUAAAGGCACGGGUCGUAGUUGACCUCCCGAGUGUACACAUAUAUCCUCCAUCCUUUAGGAAUGACAUAACCUGAACAAGGAUAUAAGCAGAGCAAGAGAUAAGUGACUAUACAAGUAGUAUGAAAUAGUGUGUUUUGGGCCUUUUGCAGCAGAUAAUAUUAGUCUAUGCUUUAACAAGAAUUGAUAUCUAUUGUAUAAUUUUCUCUCAUAACAACCUUGUACAUCCAGCAUCAGGCUAGCUAAUUGUGGGAUUAAUGAUUGCAUUAAUUGUUUUUAGCACUUAGAAUUGACAGAGGAAUAAUUGUUAAGUUUCUGAUUGGAAGGACAAAGCAAGCAGUGAUAGUAUUGAGCUCUCUCUUCUCUUAUCCACUACACAGACAAUAUAAUUCCUUAGGACAAGAUGGGGCAUCAAUGGAAUGUCUUGGGUUGUAAUGGUAAGUUUUCCAUGUGGAUCAUGAUAGGGUAGGGUCCAUACAUAAAGGUGAUCUCUUAGUCUAUGAUUGCUUGUAUAUGCCACUGUUGCUUUUUAUGUAAAAUACUUUAAUUAUUGAUGAGAGAAAAUGUCAAAAUUGCUUAAUUAUUCCAGACUACUCCUUGAAGUAGUAUAUUCCGAACUUUUUUUUUUUUUUGUUGUGGCUGCUGAAUCAUAAAGGAAGCAGAGAGUAAUAUAAGGAAAAAUUUAAGAGAUUGUGCUCACCAUUUAUUUCCAUAUCCGUAGUUGUCUUCCUCAAAACUCCAUUUACUAUUGUAGCCAGUCUGGAUGUCUCGUAUAUGACCUGCAGUAGUUAUAUCAUACAACGUUUCUAUAUUAGCUGGAAAUAUUACUAAGUUUAACAGAAGUAACUAUUUUUAGUUGGAAGUUGGCAACACUCACCGCACGUGUGAAGCGCAUGGAUCUAUAGUCUUCGUAAUCAAUAGGAUCCUCAGGAUUUUUUCUUUCCCGUAUUGCCAUAUGUUCUUUCUGGAAAUUUAAAGGUGAAAAUGUGAGGGUUCAGUAAUGAAACAUAACUAUACUUUCACAAAUUAAGAAAUUUCCACUUAAAACAUGUGGUGCUUCAUGACUGAAAUCUCCACUCACCCUUAAUUCUUCUAGCACUUUUGGAUGAUCAUGAAGAUACUUGACAGCCAUCAUAGAAGUAGUUGACACGGUCUCGUAUCCGGAAUACAAGAUGGUGAUGAUCAAGUCGAUCAUUUCCUCAUCACUUAGCUUGUAUUUGUUCUCCUCGCUUACUAGAAGACCAAGCAUGUCCCUUUGUUUUUCUCCGGAAGCUCUUCUUUCUUCGACUAGUUUCCUUAACAAGCAUGUGAUGUUCUGUCUUGCCUGUUUGAUGAAUUCAAACUGUUAAUGUUCCUGGAUUUAGACAAGUUCUUGCAGACCACUAAAGAAGAGGUAAAUUUUUUUUACCUGAAAUCCGCGAUGGUAAUUUGUGUUGGGAAGGUUGAUGGGGAGUGAAAGAGUUCCCAGGACCAGUUUGAAGAAUUCAGGCAUGAAUGCGUCAGAUAUUGAGCUUGCUUCAACGCUUGCAAUUUGUCUAAAUGAUGAUAGAAACGCCAUCUGGAACAAUAUUGAGGUUUUGUAGUGCUUUAGAACAGAGUGUCAAGGGUAAAUCCUACUGCAUAAACCAGUGGUUAGAUCUAAAAGGUGCUAGUACAUACCUCUUUCGUUUUCUCUUGGAUAUCAACAAUCUUGUUAUCCCAAUCACUCAGAUGAGAUCUCAUGAAAUCGUCGAUUUUGGGCAAGAGUUGAUCUUUGAUCAUCGUGGGGCUGAUAAGAGCAAGCAGGGCCCCUCGCAUAUACUUGUGAGCAGAGCCGUGGACGGCUGCGAUGUUGCAUUUCCCCAAUAUAUCUAACAUAGACUGAGGAUAGCCGGGGACGAGCCCUUUCGCUUCAUUAACUAAGAUGUACCUGUUUAACUCCGGAUCCAUCGAAACUAUGGUAGGGCAACCUAGUAUGUGUGAUUUGAAAAAACUCCCAAACCUGCAGGAGCAACAAAGGUGAAAGAAGUUUUAGUAAAGCACCAUUUUGAUUUUUGUUUAAGGAAAAAUUGAAUCUGUUUAUCAGUCAUCAUGCACAUAACCAUGCAAGUUCCUAUCUUUUUAUACAGAACAUAUAGGUUCUGAAAUUUAUUGAGAUGUUCAAUAAGGUAGAAAAUAUGACAUUCUUAAUUAUGCAAGAGAAAAAUGAGAGAGACCUUGAUCUUUGGUUUUUCAUGAAGGCUGGACCUUGUUUUAGAAACUCAGUGGUCUCUCCGAACAGUGGCCACCCCAUUGUACCUGGUGGCAAUCCUUUCUUCCUGUACCUAACCUCAUUCCAUUUCAGGAGGGCAACACUCAAGAUGCAGAGACCCCAAAACACUCCUAGAAUCACAACCAAGCUGGCCAUUGAUCCUCCCUAAAAGCUCAAAACUAUUUGAGAGAUAAGGGGAGGGGAGAGAGGGAAAGCUUGAAAGGGAGAGCUGUAAAAGGUAUGGGAUUUGCUCUAGUUGUAUUGGCUGGUCAUGACUCAUGAGUUCGUGCGGGUGUUUAUAUAGACCUGAUGAAAUCAAUAUGAGAGAGAGAGAGGGUUGGGGGUAGAGUGGGGAGGCCUAAUACGCCAAAAUCAUGCACGCUAGAAAGGUAGGACCUAGUAUUAAAACCUGACGGAAAACUCAAGGCACAGUAAAGAACUCAAAUAAAUAAAUUUUGGUUGAAGUAAAUUUUUUUGUACAAACAGAAACCUGUUUUACAUUUUCUUGAUACCUCAAGAGCUUCCAUUUCACUGGCCUGUCAAAACUGUAUGUGCUGCUGCUCUGUUCAACUGGAAAUAAAAUUACUUUACGCAAUUUUUUAAUACCUGUUUUUAGUUGUCAUUCUUAAUCAUUUGGUUAUCUAUUUUAAUCUUUUGUUAAAAUGUGUCGCAUAAAGGAACUCCCUUGGGUUGAUGUUAGAAUUAUAGGCAAUUGAUGAGAGCACAUGGACGCCACCCCAUUAGAAGGAAAGCCAUGGGAUUAAGUGGUUCACAUGUCUGUCAAAUAGAUCUGCGCACCAAAUUACAAAAGUCACUUGAGGACAUGUUCUUGGUUAGAGAGAGAAAGGAAGACCCAUGAAAUAACAAAAACCAUCUAGGCAUGUUCUUUUCUCUCGCCACCCUAACUCUUGAGGUUGGAACAUAGAAAUCCUAGCCUGUUUCCUUUUAAUUAGAUUGAAACUUGGAUCUGUAGGUUAUAGUUCCUAGUAACUCCACACGUGAAGUUUGACUUUUUGGACUGUUUUCCACUUUAAACUUUUCCUAUCUUGUUAUCCAAUAAUUCCCCAUGUUCUAACCUUUCAUCACAUCUCAAAUUUCAGUAACUUUUUGGAGCCUUGUGCAAGGGAAGAAGACUAUAAAAAAUUGCAGAACAGAGACCCCCUAUGCCUGCCUAGCUAAUGGCCAUCCACUAAGCAUGAUUAAGUAAGGAUUCUUGUGUCAUAAUACGAUAAAAAAGAAAAAAGCUUAAUUUUUUUUGCUAAUCACAUCAAACCCAAUUUGAAAUGAGUCUAGAUUUGCUUUCUGUAUUCACACAUGUAUGCUAAAGGGCAUUCUAAUUCCACUUCUACCCCAUGUGAGGAAACCGACUGCUACCCUCCUGAAAAUUCCUUGAUAAUUGGUAUAAAUGUCAGAUUUUAUUAUGCUUAAUAAUAAUGGUUAUGUUGACUGUUUUGACCAAGUGAAGCCCAACGUAUCAUGUAAACAUGCUUUAUUAUUAAUUUAUUAUAUACUAAUAUGAAUAGCAGAAUAGGUCGGCAUCGAGGUAGGUGUAUACAUUUAAUUCGAAAGCCAUUGUUAAGUUCCCGAGCUACUAAUUUUUGCUGUACAGAGCUCUUACUCACUCAUUUAUAAAUGAUAAUUUAAUACGAAGGCUUUCACAUUGACACGCAAUGGCUGGUGUCGGACAUAUAUAUGGAAAUUUGAUGGUUGCUAAAACUCAAUACAUUUAAUUGGAACUAGAUACAAAAUGGUGCCGUACAGGAAGGCGUACAAGGUCGACUAGUCUCAUCAUCAGUAGGUGGGAGAUUAUUUGAGAGAGGGGUAUUUGUAAUAUAUGCUCCUAAAAACAGGGUUUGUCUUGUAAUUUUCACUUAUAUAUCAUCAUCUCUCGUUUUGUUUAUUGACUUUGGGUAUGAUGCUGAUGCCUUGUCAUAAUGUGGCACAAAAGGUAGGUUGGAAAAUGACUUGAAGAGAAGUGUGGAUCCUUGGGGAGAUCCUUGGAAAGGGAUUUGACACGACUGACACAGUGCCCCCUUUUACAUUUCUAAGCAAUUGCUAAUCAUCGCCCACUUUU
rnacentral:lncRNA from 1 species